CAGACCUGAGUGUGGCAGGACCACCCGCUAAACUUAAGCAUAUUACUCAGCGGAGGAAAAGAAAACAACCGUGAUUCUCUCAGUCAGCGGCGAGCGAAGAGGGAACGAACUCGUUGCCGAAUCGGGUCUGAAUGGCCUCGAGUUGUGGCAUGACGUGCCGCCUUGGGGGCUGGUGCGGGCGUGGCUGAAUUCAAUCGAAAAGCAAACCCGUUGCUGAAUCUACAACCCUUCAUGUGAGUAUUGAGCCAAAGAAGGUGUCAGCCCAUUUAUUCUAUGCCACCCACCCGCGCCUCCUCGGGCGGCCCAAGAGAGUAGCACUGUUUGGGAAUGCAGUGUCAAGCCGGCAGGUAUUUGUCUGCCAAGGUUAAAUACAGAGUAGGAAGACCGAUAGCGAACAAGUAGCGUGAGCGAAAGUUUGAAAAGCACUUGAAAGAGAGUACAU
rfam:Trypanosoma congolense IL3000, WGS project CAEQ01000000 data, contig: 530